ACACCAGUGGCGUAAUGGAUAGCGCAGUGCCUUCCUAAGGCAACGGUUGUGGGUUCGAGUCCCAUCUGGUGUA